AGUCGUAACAAGGUAUCCGUAGGUGAACCUGCGGAUGGAUCAUUACAGAAGCGAGCGCGGGUGAGAGCGGCCUAGCUGCGCCUCGCCCGCCGACCUCUCUGACGUUUUGUGCACUGUUUCCCGCCAACGGUCGCUGUUGUUGUUUAUGCAGCGGCGGCCGGAGGCGCCCAACCGGAACGUAUUAUUUACACCCACACUUGCGGCAUUCUUAGUAUGGCGUAGCUGUGUACUACUAGUACUACUACUACUACUGCAACAAAAAAUGGUGACAACUUUUAGCAACGGAUCUCUUGGCUCUC
rnacentral:misc_RNA from 1 species